AAUGAACGUUGGCGGCAUGGAUUAGGCAUGCAAGUCGCGCGACAAGCUAGUGCUUGCACUAGCGGAGGAGCGGCGUAAGGGAGAGUAACAGGUAGAUACGUGCCCUUGAGACCAGGAUAGCGUCGGGAAACUGGCGGUAAUACUGGAUAAUAUCUCAGGAUCAAAUGGUGUGAUUCCGCUCAAGGAUCGGUCUGCUCCUUAUUAGCUUGUUGGUGAGGUAAUGGCUCACCAAGGCUGAGAUGGGUACCGGGUGUGAGAGCAUGGCCCGGCUCACUGGGACUGAGACACUGCCCAGACACCUACGGGUGGCUGCAGUCGAGAAUCUUCGGCAAUGGACGCAAGUCUGACCGAGCGAUGCCGCGUGCGGGAUGAAGGCCCCUCGGGUUUGUAAACCGCUGUCAGUUGGGAGGAAAUGCUAUAGGGUUCUCUCUAUAGCUUGACCGAUCUUCAGAGGAAGUACGGGCUAAGUUC
rnacentral:rRNA from 1 species